UACGAAGGGGGCUAGCGUUGUUCGGAAUCACUGGGCGUAAAGCGCACGUAGGCGGAUCUUUAAGUCAGGGGUGAAAUCCCGAGGCUCAACCUCGGAACUGCCUUUGAUACUGAAGAUCUUGAGUUCGGGUGAGGUGCGUGGAACUGCGAGUGUAGAGGUGAAAUUCGUAGAUAUUCGCAAGAACACCAGUGGCGAAGGCGGCUC
rnacentral:rRNA from 1 species